rnacentral:rRNA from 1 species
AGAGUUUGAUCCUGGCUCAGAACGAACGCUGGCGGCGUGCCUAACACAUGCAAGUCGUACGAGAAAAUCCGCUUCGGCGGGUGAGUAAAGUGGCGCACGGGUGAGUAACGCGUGGAUAAUCUGCCUUUAAGCGGGGAAUAACUUACCGAAAGGUGGGCUAAUACCCCAUAAAGCUAUGGAGCUCCGGUUUUCAUAGCCAAAGAGAGCCUCUGCAUGCAAGCCCUCACUUAGAGAUGAGUCCGCGUACCAUUAGCUAGUUGGUGGGGUAAUGGCCUACCAAGGCGACGAUGGUUAGCUGGUCGGAGAGGAUGAUCGGCCACACUGGAACUGAGACACGGUCCAGACUCCUACGGGAGGCAGCAGUGAGGAAUAUUGCGCAAUGGGGGCAACCCUGACGCAGCAACGCCGCGUGAGUGAGGAAGGUUUUCGGAUCGUAAAGCUCUGUCGGGUGGGAAGAAAUGUAUGGAGGUUAACAGCCUUUGUACUUGACGGUACCGCCAAAGGAAGCACCGGCUAACUCCGUGCCAGCAGCCGCGGUAAUACGGGGGGUGCUAGCGUUGUUCGGAAUCAUUGGGCGUAAAGAGCGUGUAGGCGGCUAGGCAAGUCAGAUGUGAAAUCCCUGGGCUUAACCCAGGACGUGCAUUUGAAACUGCUUGGCUUGAGUAGGGAAAAGGGAAGUGGAAUUCCUGGUGUAGAGGUGAAAUUCGUAGAUAUCAGGAGGAACACCGGUGGCGAAGGCGACUUCCUGGUCCUAUACUGACGCUGAGACGCGAGAGCGUGGGGAGCAAACAGGAUUAGAUACCCUGGUAGUCCACGCCGUAAACGAUGUU